rnacentral:rRNA from 1 species
GUCGAGCGACGAAAGGGCCUUCGGGCCCCUGAAAGCGGCGAACGGGUGAGUAACACGUGGGUAACCUACCCUCGGUUUCGGGAUAGCCCGGGGAAACUCGGAUUAAUACCGAAUGGCCUCUAGGGUUCUCGGAUCCUGGAGAAAAGGUAGCUUAGGCCUCCGACCGAGGACGGGCCCGCGGCCGAUUAGCUUGUUGGUGGGGUAACGGCCCACCAAGGCGACGAUCGGUAGCUGGUCUGAGAGGACGAUCAGCCACACUGGGACUGAGACACGGCCCAGACUCCUACGGGAGGCAGCAGUAGGGAAUCUUGCGCAAUGGGCGAAAGCCUGACGCAGCGACGCCGCGUGCGGGAAGAAGGCCUUCGGGUUGUAAACCGCUUUCAGGAGGGACGAAGCCACUCGGGUUAAUAGCCCAGAGGGUGACGGUACCUCCAGAAGAAGCCCCGGCUAACUACGUGCCAGCAGCCGCGGUAAUACGUAGGGGGCAAGCGUUGUCCGGAUUUAUUGGGCGUAAAGAGCGUGUAGGCGGCCAUGUAGGUCCGAUGUGAAAACUGGGGGCUCAACCUCCAGCUGUCGUCGGAAACCAUGUGGCUAGAGUCCGGAAGAGGAGAGUGGAAUUCCUGGUGUAGCGGUGAAAUGCGCAGAUAUCAGGAAGAACACCUAUGGCGAAGGCAGCUCUCUGGGACGGUACUGACGCUGAGACGCGAAAGCGUGGGGAGCGAACAGGAUUAGAUACCCUGGUAGUCCACGCCGUAAACGAUGGGCGCUAGGUGUGGGCGGUGUCGACUCCGUCCGUGCCGCAGCUAACGCAUUAAGCGCCCCGCCUGGGGAGUACGGCCGCAAGGCUAAAACUCAAAGGAAUUGACGGGGG